rnacentral:rRNA from 1 species
CCUACGGGUGGCUGCAGUGAGGAAUAUUGGUCAAUGGACGCAAGUCUGAACCAGCCAUGCAGCGUGCAGGAAGACGGCUCUAUGAGUUGUAAACUGCUUUUGUAUGAGGGUAAACGCAGAUACGUGUAUCUGUCUGAAAGUAUCGUACGAAUAAGGAUCGGCUAACUCCGUGCCAGCAGCCGCGGUAAUCCGGAGGAUUCAAGCGUUAUCCGGAUUUGUUGUGUUUAAAGGGUGCGUAGGAGGUCGGAUAAGUUAGAGGUUAAAUCCGGAGGCUCAACUUCGGAAUUGCCUUUGAUACUGGUCGGCUAGAGAGUAGUGGCGGUAGGAAGAAUGUAUGGUGUAGCGGUAGAAU